AAUCAACGCUGGCGGCAGGCCUAACACAUGCAAGUCGAGCGGAUGAAGGUAGCUUGCUACCUGAUUCAGCGGCGGACGGGUGAGUAAUGCCUAGGAAUCUGCCUGGUAGUGGGGGACAACGUUUCGAAAGGAACGCUAAUACCGCAUACGUCCUACGGGAGAAAGUGGGGGAUCUUCGGACCUCACGCUAUCAGAUGAGCCUAGGUACGAUUAGCUAGUUGGUGAGGUAAAGGCUCACCAAGGUGACGAUCGUUAACUGGUCUGAGAGGAUGAUCAGUCACACUGGAACUGAGACACGGUCCAGACUCCUACGGGAGGCAGCAGUGGGGAAUAUUGGACAAUGGGCGAAAGCCUGAUCCAGCCAUGCUGCGUGUGUGAAGAAGGUCUUCGGAUUGUAAAGCACUUUAAGUUGGGAGGAAGGGCAGUAAGUUAAUACCUUGCUGUUUUGACGUUACCGACAGAAUAAGCACCGGCUAACUUCGUGCCAGCCGCCGCGGUAAAAC
rnacentral:rRNA from 1 species